CGGCAAAGAAGAAGACCGAUAAGGUUGUGAACCCUUUAUUUGAAAAGCGUCCAAAACAGUUUGGUAUUGGUGGUGCAUUGCCUCCAAAAAGGAUUUGCAUAGGUUCGUGAAAUGGCCAAAAGUUGUCCGCAUUCAACGCCAAAGGAGGAUUUUAAGCAACAUUCGAAGGUUCCACCUGCUUUGAACCAGUUCACAAAGACCUUAGAUAAAAACCUUGGAAAACGACAAAGUUGGAGGACGAUUUAUAUAGUUCGGUUACAUAUUACUUGGAAUGCUUGUUGGACCUGCAACUGCUGGAAGAGGAAAAUCAUAUUUGUUGAACAAAAGAGAAGGUCAAUUCAUUGCCUGGAAUAUCGCCUAUUUUAC